GGACAGAGGGCAAGAGAGUAAUCACCUGACCGGGAGUAUAUAACGUCUCAAGGAGGAGGCUCAGUAUCCAGAUCGCCCUCAGCCGUAGAGGUUGCAGCACCUGCCCAGCCAACAUGAAGCUGAUUUCCUUGUUGAUGGCCAUGCUUGUGGCCCUGUCCUGCUACAUGGGAUCUGCUCUUGCCAUGCCCGAGCCCUAUGCCCUCCCUGACGCUGACGCCGGGGCAGAGGCCGAACCCUGGCGCUAUAGACCCUACUAUGGUCACUACCAUUCUCACUACCAUAGGCCCUACGGAUACCACAGUCAUUUCCACUGGCACUAAACAGUCACAGAGUGCAGUGUAGAAAACCCAUUACCGCCAAUUAGGAUUUCUCUUUCUCACUUUCGCUCUCUGCUUAUGUCUGUCAAAGUACCGAUGCCAGUGUAGAUACCUUUUAAACCUAAUUUUCUACUUUUGUUCAUAAUUAUUUCUUCAAAAUACUAGCUAAAUACUCAAAAUGCAUCUUUAAAAAAAUGGAAUUGCUACUUCUUUCCAAAUUAAAAGGUGCGCAAAAACA